rnacentral:rRNA from 1 species
AUUGAACGCUGGCGGCAUGCCUUACACAUGCAAGUCGAGCGGCAGCGCGGGGGCAACCCUGGCGGCGAGCGGCGAACGGGUGAGUAAUGCAUCGGAACGUACCCUGGAGUGGGGGGAUAACGCCGCGAAAGCGGCGCUAAUACCGCAUAUGCUCUGAGGAGGAAAGUGGGGGACCCGCAAGGGCCUCAUGCUCUGGGAGCGGCCGAUGUCCGAUUAGCUAGUUGGUGAGGUAAAGGCUUACCAAGGCGACGAUCGGUAGCUGGUCUGAGAGGAUGAUCAGCCACACUGGGACUGAGACACGGCCCAGACUCCUACGGGAGGCAGCAGUGGGGAAUUUUGGACAAUGGGGGCAACCCUGAUCCAGCCAUGCCGCGUGAGUGAAGAAGGCCUU